rnacentral:sRNA from 1 species
CCAUAGCCCCGAUUGAAACGGCAUCUUUUUUUGCUUGGGAAAAGCUUUGGCAAAAAAGAUAUAGUGGAAAGCGGGAUCAAGC